GGGGAUCAUUAUUGUGAAGAACAAGAAUUUCACUUUUACUAUAAUUGAAUACAUGGAAUUGUUAUUUUGCAAGCCAGAUGAAAGGCAAAUCAGUCUUGGAUGUCUGUGAUGGUGAAGGGGCUUCAAAUUUUGUGCCUAUGACUGCCUUUGUGAAUAAAAAGAAUUUGACACGGUCAUAUUUGGAAUUUAAGAUGAGCAAAAAUACAAGAUAGAGUCAUCUUCAUUCAUGACAUUGUUCAAGUAGUUGUGCUGUUAAGCAAUGUAUGAGAACAUAAAUUUAUGAUGAAUGAAAAAUGUCCCUCUGUUUUCUCAAACUAUAUUUGGGCUCAUUCCUUGUUUCUUGUGCAUAACCACUUCAUACUUGGUUGUUUUGGUUUUAUUUUGAUUUUUCUCACCCUAUUUAACAGUUUCAUGAUUUGCUUUCCAUAAGAAUAUGAAUGUGAACUCCAGGAAAGUGAAUUACUCUUAAACUAGAAAGAUUCAUAAUUGAAUAAUGUUUGAAGUAUAAAUUCACAUAAAUUGUGGACAUUGAUCAGAAGUUUCUGCAUUACUUUGUAGUUUACUGUUUAUCUGUUGUUC
rnacentral:misc_RNA from 1 species